UCACGUUCUCUAUCUUCCUCUACCUCUCUCUUCCUCUUCCUCUUUCUUUUGUCUCUCCUUCUCUGAUAUUGUUCUUCUUCUGAUUUCUGUGCAGAUGAAUAUGAUGUUGAUGGUGACGAUGAACAUGUUGCUGAUGAUAUCGUGAUGUUGAUUUUGAAUCAUUGAUGGUUGUUGCUAAGGGUUACGAUCGUGAAAUUGAUGAUGAUGUUGGUGACGCUAAAAGUCACACCAAAUCGGUGAGAUCUUUCUUUGUUUUUUCGUAUUUUGAGUUCUAUAAUCUCUCUGCUUCUCUCAAUAUUUUCUGAAGGGUUUGUGUAAAAAAUGAGGAAGAUGAUGAUAAAAUAGGGUUUCAUGAACGUUAGUGUUGUAUCCCAUUUACUGAAUAUGAACUGCGUUCUUUUUCUUUCUUCUCAUUGUUUUUCGAAAAAUUGUAUACUUUAGGAUGAUGAUGAUGAUGAUGAUGAUGAUGAUGAAAUUUUAGGGUUUUGGUUAUGUAUUCUGCUGCAGUGAAAAAAUGUGAAUCAGGUGUUAACUUAUUCUUUUUCUCUUUACUGUGAACCAAAGUUUAUUUGUUAUUUGUAGUAAAGAUUAGGCCCAUGAUUGUUCGAUGAAACUGUAUGAGGAUUGAGGCCUUUAACUCGCUAACAUGAUUUGAAUCAUUCCCCUUAAAAAUUCUGAUUCCUUCACAUAAACCCUAAUGAUGAAUUAUGAAUCUUCUUUACCUUCUAUGGUAUGAUGGUUGUGGCAGUGACACCAAAUCACCAUGUUGCUUAUAUCGUGGCUGCUGCAUUUUAUGCAGUUUGGAACCUCUUUUCAGGAUUCGUCGUCGCGAGCCCUUUAAGUACUAACAUUCACUAAGAAUGUUUAAAUGAAUUUAUAUUAUUAGAUGUACGCUAACUAUUGUAUUUUUCAUUGAUUGAUAGUUUCUUUUCCAAAUUAUCAUGUCGAAUUUCUUUCUUUAUUCUCAGUCAAAUGUCAUCUCUAAUUUGUUGGUUAAUUCAAAAUAUAGAUUGUUCGAUUUGGUUUUCACUAAGUUGUUUUGUUUCAGACAUAUAUGGUGCCAUGGCUGUUGCAGGGAAUUUUAUAUGUUCAAUUACCGGAAUUGACUCUCUUGGACGUUUUCAUCUUUCAAUAGAUGAUGUUCUUGAAGGACUUGGAUAUGCAGUUCCUCCAAUUAUGGCUCUUCUUUUUAUACUUGAUGGACUGAACUGAGUCAUAUAGCUGCUGUACCGAAUGAUGCAGGGAAGAAACCAAGUCGUACACCUGAUAUACUGAAUACUGCAAGUGUUGAAUCAGGUGUUGGCUGAAUUGAGUUAAGUAACAUUUCAAAAUGAUGAGGUUGUGAUUUUGUAAAUGAUGAGAAGGAGAUUCAUCCAAGCUGCUGAAUCUUCUUACAAGGUUGCUUAUCCAGAACUAGAAUUCAUGGAAAAUUAUUUAGCAGAGCUUGCACUUAUUAAAUACAGCUUCCUGCAGUUUUGACCUUCCAAGAUAGCUGCUUCUACAAUUUUUCUUGCUAGAUUGACCCUCGGCCAGUCAGAACAUCCAUGGGUCUGAACUUUAUUUUUAACACUUAACUUUCAUUUUUUACAAUUAGGCGAUUAGUUUCAACUUAAAGUUAAUCUAAUUAGAUUCACAUGCUCAUCGAUUUGCAGAAUUUUGUGUUCAUACCGAGUUGAUUUAUGCCUUUAUUAUCCAUGCAAUAUGUUAACAUGUUUGUUAACAAUAAUAAUGAUUCUACUCUAUAGCUGGAAAUGAAAUCCCUUGACGAUGCAGCGAGAUUGUUGCUUGGAAAUUUGCAGGUACAAAACUUCGACAUGUUGUAUCCACUUUAGCACUUGAAGUCUGGCAGCACCAGGGUCCAUCUGCCAGUACACAAGUAAAUCCGCGCGACGGCCUUUUUUGGUUCAAUAAACCAGAUAUACUGCUAUGGUUGAUACAAUUUCUGAUAUUUCAGGAGUGAAGCUAUCGUAUGGCACGAUUGGGUUUAGGGAAGAUGCAUCGAUUUUGUCAUCGACGGUUGUGAUAUUUUUUGCCAAAUUAACCUUUGUAUGAUGUUAUGAAAUCAGAAUAGUCGGUCGGAUGUAUGGCUGUAUUGAAUUGUUGCUAGGUGACUGGUUUAUGGUUUUGAUCUACAGGUUGGUUUAAAUGCAUGAUGUUAACUGGCCUUGGACAAUUAGGGGUUCCAUUUGUUAAAUGCUGCAAGCUUCAAUAUUUUUAGCAACCUAAAGUGGAAUGUAUGGAUCUGAAUUGGUAGAACCGACAUAUAAUGAACAUGAUUUUGCAGGUUGUUAUAUGUACAACAAGCUAUUUUGGUGGCUCUGGUUUGAUGGCCCCCUGACAUUUUAAGAUGAGCGUUUGGUGCGGAGCUGGCGCGAGCUGAUUAUGCUAUUCUGAACUGCAUGACCCGAAUGUAGGUUCUGAAGUGAUUUCCUCUUGGAUUGAACAUCAUCUAUAGGGUCUGUCCGAUAAAGUAGUAAAUGCAUUUAGGAUGAUGGCAGCUGAGGGUCUUACUCCCAGUCUUUUAGCUCUCAAUUUCUUAAUCAAUGCUUUUGGUGAAGAUAGAAGAGAUGUUGAAGCAUUUGAUGUACUGCAAUACAUGCAAGACAGUGU